ACAAAAAAAAAAAAAAGGCUCAAAUAACAAUAAUAGAAUAACCCUCCUAUAUAUAUAAGAAAUCAAUUAGCCAUUACCAGCACUUAGUCAGCCUUUGUGGCAAAGUUAGCUCAUCAAGGAUGAUUUUGUCAACCAUUGUCAAUGUCUCACACAAGUCCAAAAACUUAAGAGUUUUUUUUUUUUUUUGAAAGAAACAGGUUUGGUGGCAGGAAACAACCAAGAGAGUUCUUUAAAGUUGUGCAGUUUUUCUGUUUUAUGGAGACUUCAGAUGCAAAAGAACGCAGGCAAUUUCACAAAAUAAAAGUUUGUUCUUUAAUUGUGUGAAAAGGUGGUAUUUUUGGUUUGUAUUGUAUGUUGCUUCUGGAGCUUUCCAAGAGAUCUCUUUUGAGUGUUAUUCAGUUUGAUUAGAUGCCAUUAAUAUUUUUUGGUUUGUUCUUUAUAUUUUUGUUUGUAGUUGCAUGUUGAGUUUUCUGGGAGGACAUCUCAUCUUCUAUGUUGUACUCUCUUCAUUAUCAUAAAAUUUCUUUUCAUAUCCAAAAAAUAAAUAAAUAUAUAAAGGCAUCACCCUUUGAGCUUUGGUAGAUCAUCCUCACCAGCCAUUCACCAGGAUAUGAUUUAACUGUUUCCAAGGACAUGGUUAGUGCAUGAUUCGACUGUAUGGUCUAUAGCUUGAUAAAACAAAUGAUGAGUGCACAGACGUGAGAGAGAAAUGGGAGCUAUACAGCAAAGGAGCAACAAUAAUACUGGAUAAUGACUAAGGAAUACCUGAACACAAAGCAGUUGCCCAGCUACUGAUGAAGUUAAUGGAGCUUGCCAAUAAACGACAAGGAGAUUUUGUUGUGCAGGAAAGUAUUUUUUGUUUUAAGAAAAUUAUAGCCUCUUGAAAGAUAAAGACAGCAGGAAUGUUUUGCAGCAGUUUUUAUGGCUAGAAUCCAGAAAAGUAAACUUCAGUGUAAUAGAAUGCUUUAGAAGUUAAGUUAGAAAACAAUAAUUAAGUUAUUUAUGAUGAAAGUACUUCACUUUGAUGCAACUUCUCAGUGGAAGAAGGUAGUUGCUUGCUAGUUGGCAAUUGCUGCUCUAAAAUUAUAAGGAGCUUACAGCUAAUAAUAGCUUAGAAGUGGAGAGGCAAUAAUACUUCAAACUUCAAUGUGAAGAAACUUUAGCAUUAGAAACAUUUAUUUUGAUGAGAGGCGGUAAUACUUCAAAGUUCAAUGUGAAGAAACUUUUGCAUCAGAAUCAUUUAGUUUGUUGCGAGUGUUUUCUUUUUUCUUUUUCUAUCUUUCCAUACUGAAAUAUCAAAAUCGCACACAUAAACUAACACGGAUAAAAAAAAAUGCAAUAAGCACAUAAAUAUAUCCAAUAGACAGAAGAGGCCAAUAAAAUCCCUGUAUUACACAUGCAGACUGAAAAGUUGGCUAAAUGAGUUUUACGUAUGAAGUAUGUAAACCAAUUGGCAAGACUACGAAUACAAACUUAAAAAACAAGUUUCAACUUUACCGAAAACUAGAAAGAAUGGAGGGACCAGCCAGCACAUCUCCACUUGUAGAUACCAUGACAGGAUCCACCACCAAAGCUGCCUUCAAAUAUCUGAUUAAGUCAACUCAAAAGCCACGAGAACACAUCAACUUGCAUAUCAGAAAGCACAGACUUCAACUGCUCAGCAACAAAAUCCUGAGGAACAAUGUUUACAC
rnacentral:misc_RNA from 1 species